CCUACGGGAGGCAGCAGUGGGGGAUAUUGCACAAUGGGGGAAACCCUGAUGCAGCGACGCCGCGUGGGUGAAGAAGCGCCUCGGCGCGUAAAGCCCUGUCAGCAGGGAAGAAAAUGACGGUACCUGAAGAAGACGCCCCGGCUAACUACGUGCCAGCAGCCGCGGUAAUACGUAGGGGGCAAGCGUUAUCCGGAUUGACUGGGUGUAAAGGGGGCGCAGACGGCGAUGCAAGCCAGGAGUGAAAGCCCGGGGCCCAACCCCGGGACUGCUCUUGGAACUGCGUGGCUAGAGUGCAGGAGGGGCAGGCGGAAUUCCUGGUGUAGCGGUGAAAUGCGUAGAUAUCAGGAGGAACACCGGUGGCGAAGGCGGCCUGCUGGACUGCAACUGACGUUGAGGCCCGAAAGCGUGGGGAGCAAACAGGAUUAGAUACCCCAGUAGUC
rnacentral:rRNA from 1 species